UGGGGACAGGCAGGGCAAGUGGAGCUGAGCCGCCUGGCUCACCAGUUCCUCUAGCCCUCCAGCUCCUCCAGCCCUCUGGCCUCAGUCUUCCCAUCUGCUGAUGGGCCCAUCUCUGGUAGGGAGGGUCUGUGUUUUGGGAUGAGGGUUGAUGAAGUGAGGCGUGACUCCUGGGCCAUGAGGGUGGCUGUGAGGGUGGCUGCAUCCCUUUGCCUCCCUGCCUGGUGCCUGAGCAGUCUCAUCCAUCUGCUGAGGCCUCUGCGGGGAAUACAGAGGGGUUCCUCGUGGAAUGCGGGACCUGAUUUUUUCCCCAAGUGAUGUCUUGGCUCUAAAUAACAUUUGCAGGAUUAAUGGUGCCGGCAGCCAACAGCACCAGGUGAUUGGAAAAAGGGUUUUAUGGCCCCGUGGGUAAAAUUGAACUUGCAUCCGAGGUGUAUUUCCAAGAUGGGAUUUUCCUCCCUGGCAGAGGCGGCACAUUCCACGCUAAUUAUAAUGGCAACUCCUCGACAUUCAUCACCCGCAGUGGGGGGGACGCCGGUCUGGGGCACAGGGGCAGGGUGUCCCUGGAGUCACCUCCAGACCCCCUAAUCUCAGCAGACCCUGGGGGGGCUGCUUCUAGGAGAUGCGCCCUUACCCAGUGCGGGGCCAGGGAAGGGGGAGGCGGGAGCCCCCAGAGGAUGAACGAGCUCUAGCUGGGCUGCACCGGGGAGGAAGCUGGAAGGAGGCCCCAGGCUGAAGGUGGGACCCAGCUAGUGCCUGCCCAGGGACCCACAGGAGCCUCGAUGAGCAGACUCCGGGGAGGGGCCUGGCCCAUCUUGUCGCAAGGGGCUGGAGUCCUGGGCUGAGCUGGGCAGUUGACCUUGGAUCUGACUCAAGUCUUUUUACCCCAACUCAGGCUCCUGCAGCCCAGCACAGCGCCCAGCCAGGAUGGGCAGGAGGAAGCCCUUCCUCCGAGGGGCCCUCACCGCACCCUGCCUGAGAGGCCUCGAGCCCCAGGGCUCUUGUCUCAGCACCGGGCCAGAGAUUCGGGAACUAUGGGAGUUUGGGGGACCUUGGUGGCUGAGGGUUGUGCUCGUGGAGGACUCCUUGAGUUUGGAAGAUGAGGCCCACCUUCUGCACAGCCAAUAGGUCAUUGUCAUGGGGACACUGACCACCAGCACCAACCUCCAUUCCCUGCCGGGGACACCUGCCUUUAUCACCCAUUUCCCAGGUGAACCUGACAGGAGUGGGGAUGGAGCCUGGCAUCCCCAGGGAACCUCCUGGAGUAAUCACUCCACAUGCUCGCAGUAAAUACUGGGCUCUUCUUCCCUUCCCAGUAAUUGAACUUAUUUACUUUUAACUAAGAUUAAAUGUUCUCUGUGAGCUCAAGAUACU